rnacentral:rRNA from 1 species
GGUCGAUGAAGAACGCAGCUAGCUACGAUAAUCAGUGCGAAUCGCAAGAUACGCCGAGCACUUGAACUUCCAACGCACAUUGCGGCUUUUGGUUUACUCCAAAGUCACAUCUGUCUGAGAGUUGAGAAGUAAAAAUAUCAAACUACACAUGUAGACUGUUGAAGCAGAGCAACAGUCUUCGUUGAUGUAGAAGAGUUGUGUAUUUAUACACACUCUGAUAUUUUAUUCCUUUUCUUGGAGAUUGCCGUAAAAAGCAUGAUCCUAGUAAGGAGUUGCAUCUCAAUGAAGAUGCUUGUGAAGUUGUACAUGCCGUCCUACAUGUAUACACUUACACGAUAGAGCAACAGUUGAUCUGUUGUUAAGCAUAUCACUGGCAGGGGAUCCUGAGAAGUGCCCGUCAAUCUGCCGACGUUAAAGUCGACCAGCGGAUUAAUAUGACCAUAUAAGAAAAGGGUCUCUCGCUUAGCGUGGAUCUCGUUUGCACUCUAAGGUGAUAUGUAAUCUAUUAGCGUAAAUAAUCACAAGUAUCCAAAGCGUUUUUCAUUGAAUGCGAACUGUACAGUGACACGAGUUAACUCAAGUGUACACUUAAUUUUCCUAACCUCAAACA